AUGCCUUCCCCUUCAGCACCAUCUCCACCUUCAACACCGAUGUCUUCCCCGUCCCCAUCUCCAGAUGCACGCUGCGCCGAUACGUGUCUGCCGCCGACCUCUCCGCACUGUGCACCCCAUUCCCCACCUCCUCCGGUCCUCGCCUACAGCCGCUCCUCCGUGACGGCACCAGCCCUCCAGGUGCCGCCGGCCCAAGCACGCCGCCUGCUCUCCAUGCGCCGCCCACGGACAUCGCUGGAGGAGGCGCUGAAGAAGGGCUCCGACUCCUCGGAAGAGGAAGAGGAAGGGGCCGCCGGCUACAAGCUCCAUAUCCAGGCCCUGGAGCGCGCCAUCUUGGCGCAGCCUCUCGACUAUGGUUCCCAUAUUGUUCAGGGAGUCAACCGAUGA
rnacentral:rRNA from 1 species